rnacentral:tRNA from 1 species
GAGGGUAUAGCUCAGUGAUAGAACGUGUGCUUAGCAUGCACGAGGUCCUGGGUUCAAUCCCCAGUAUCUCCA